rnacentral:misc_RNA from 1 species
AUUUCUCACCAUACGAAGAAAAUAAGAUUGGAAUUAGAAGAGCAACAGAAACAUCAAUCGAGAAUGCUGGUAUCAGCAAUAAGCGAACGAGUAAUGAAGAAAAUGAAGGAAAAAGACGAACAAAUACAGAGAAUAGGAAAAAUCAAUCAAGUCUUACAAGAAAAAUUAAAGACUCUUUACAUGGAAAAUCAACUAUGGAGAGAUUUAGCACAAACCAACGAAGCCACAGCCAAUUCACUCCGCAGCAACUUAGAACAGGUCCUUGCACACGUCACCGACGAACGCCUCUCCGUGGAGGAAGAUGCCGA